rnacentral:rRNA from 1 species
UCCGUAGGCGGGCAAUUAAGUCAGAGGUGAAAUCCCACAGCUCAACUGUGGAACUGCCUUUGAUACUGGUUGUCUUGAGUUACAGUGAGGUAGAUAGAAUAUGUAGUGUAGCGGUGAAAUGCAUAGAUAUUACAUAGAAUACCGAUUGCGAAGGCAGUCUACUAACUGUAUACUGACGCUAAUGGACGAAAGCGUGGGGAGCAAACAGGAUUAGAUACCCUGGUAGUCC